rnacentral:sRNA from 2 species
GUUCUUUGUCUGCUUAAUGGUCUCGCCUGAGCGGGACCAGCGGGGAAACCAGGAGUUUCCGGAAACGGAUUGGGGCUUGCGAUGCCUGCGGCAUCGGGAACACUUAGUGGUUCCAGCCCGACAGCUAACCUCGUCAGCGCUAACAUUAAGGGCAA